UUUAGGGAGAUAUCUGCAAGGAAUAGUCAGGGCUUUAAAGCCAGUGCACCACAAAACCCGAUACGGUUUGGGGUUCCAGCCAGACAUGCGUCAAAGAAAAAGAUAGUGGAAGAAAGAUCAGGAAAGAAGGAUCGCAAGAACUUUGGGCCGAGAACCAGAAUGGGAGCCCAUAGAAUACCCUCCUUUGUCAAAAACAUUUACAUCUGC
rnacentral:lncRNA from 1 species